AUGACUUUCAUCACCAUCUUCAUCUGGACACUGACUCUUUGUUUUCAUGAGUCCAGAGGACAGGUGACUGUGACUCAGACUCCUGGAGUGAAAUCUGCUCCUCCAGGAGACACAGUCACUAUUAACUGCAAAACCAGUCCUGCAGUGAAGCGCUGGAGUAGUGGAAAUGAAGAGCUGCACUGGUACCAACAGAAACCUGGACAGGCUCCUAAACUCCUCAUUAAAUUUGCUAACCAGUUACUGUCAGGAAUUCCAAAUCGUUUCAGUGGCAGUGGAUCUGGGACUGACUUCACUCUGACCAUCAGAGGAGUCCAGACUGAAGAUGCAGGAGAUUAUUACUGUCAGAGUGCACAUUACAUCAGUUACAACUGGGUGUUCACACAGUGA